UUCUUAUUGGAUGAUAACUGUCACGUGUCAUGUUUUGAUUGAAUGUCAACUCCAUGAAAGAUGAAAUGAAUUGUUGUUUUCAUUGACCAAUCAGACACAUGACAGUUAUCAUCCAAUAAGAACAUGACACGUGACAGUCAACAUCA
rnacentral:pre_miRNA from 1 species